ensembl:lncRNA
CAAUGGAAGAGCCACUGAUCAAACACGCAUAAUUUGUAGAUGUGCGGCAGUGGGCUGAAAGUGGCAUUGAAGAUGUCCUGUACUUUGUUGAAAGGUUUCCCCAUCUCCUCCCAUACCAUGGGCCAGAGGAGCAUGACCACCUGGGUGAGGAGUUUCUGAAUUAUCAGACUAUGCCAACAACCUCCCUUCAGGACGAAACUGAGAUGGAAAGCUUCUGGGCUGGAAUGGCAACACGGAAACAUAAGGUGACAGGAGCCAAAGAAUUUGAGAGGCUUGCUGCCGUCGCCAAGCUGGUCCUGGUGUUGCCCCAUUCGAAUGCAGAUGCUGAGAGGGUGUUUUCAGUUGUGGGACUGAACAAAACUAAGACCAGAAAUAGCCUGGCAUUGGAUGGCACCCUGUCCUCAAUAAUGGC